ensembl:lncRNA
GCACUGGAACAGGUUGCCCAGAGAGGUGGUGGAUGCCCCGUCCCUGGAGACACUCAAGACAAAAUGGAUAACUCCUGAGUUGGACACCAGAAGCAUAGAUUUGUUCUUAUAAGCUGCCACAUCUGGGAAUGGUAUGCACUGUGGCACAGAGUGAAAAGAAGGGACAUGCCCAGUUGAGAACAAGAGGCUUGUAAUAUCACAUAAUUAUACAGAAUCACUGAAUUGUGGGAUUGGAAGGGACCUCUGGAGAUCAUCUAGUCCAAUCCCUAUGCUAAAGCAGAUUCUCUACAACUUUCAACAAGCAUCAGCGAAUGCCAGUUGCUGCCAUUUUUUCUGCAUGGAGGAAUUCAGUGACACAGUGGAGGAAUUCAGUGACAUUUGCUUCAUUUGCACUUCUAUGUCAGACACCACUUUGUCAGACUGCCCCUCUGCUGCCAUCUGUUGCAUAGCAAAAAAAUGUAACAGGAUCAGGAUAUUGGUGGCAAGGUUCAACCUCAACUGUCACACCACGGUCUGCCUCUGAUGUUGUGAAUCAACAUCAUAAAAUAAGAGGCAUUACUUUCAGAGCAGCCCUCAUACUAUUUAAUCAGAAAUUUGCAGGAAAACUAAAGAAUUUCCAGUCAGGCAAAAAAAUGAUUUAGGCUAAUGUGAAUCAGGCAGUCUGGAGAGCUAUUAUCCCAUUUUGUAGAUGAUAAGGUAGAGAUCAGAAAUACUGCUAUGGUUUAAUAAUCAAAACUAAACUUCAGCAAGAAUUUUUUUCUCUUGUAAUAACUGAUACAAAGUUUUGAAAAAAAAAAAAAAAAAGGAAGUACAUAUUUCUGCUUUUAAAUACAUUGAAAUCCACGAGAAGGAAAUAAAAAAUACCAGUCAUUCUAAAGACAUUAUGAUGCCGAAUAAGUGACAUUUAUUAAUACCUAUUCCUCAAUUUUAUCUUUUAUGAACACUUCCUAAAUUAUUUAAAAAAUGCCAGUGAUUGCUCUUGAAUUCAAAACUUUCAUUUGCCAGAGUCAUACAUUAUUUAACCAUUCUGAAAUACCACAGUGACAUACAUUUCCAGUACAUUAUCUUAUCAAGGGGUGCAUGUCACAUAGAAGACAAAACUCUUGCUGCAUUUUGGCUUUGUUUUAAG